UUGUUCUACAUUUAGAUUGACUUUCAAUAAGCUGCAAGAUUCAGGAGUGAAAAUACUGUGUGCAGCCUUGAGGAAUCCAGACUGUAAAAUACAGGAACUGAAACUGGACUAUAGUCUGGUUCUUGUGCUGAAGACCUUGCUGCUGCUCUCACGGUGAACCAGUCACUAACACUUCUGGAUCUGGGUCAUGAUGAGCUGGGAGAUGUUGGAGUGAAACUAUUGUCUGUAGCUCUGAAGAAUCCGCACUGCAAAAUACAGACACUGAGCCUUGAAAUGAAUGGCAUCACAGAUUCUUGUACAGAGGAUCUCUCCUCAGCUCUCAGUAUGAACCAGUCACUAACACUGCUGAUCUUGAAUUCAAACUCCUUCACCGACCUGUCUGUUCCCACCCUCCAGGGCCUAGUCCACACCUGCAGGAAUCUGAAGCAUAUCCAGCUGAAGAGCAAUAUAUUCAGCCCAAACGGAAGAGGACAAUUGGAGACACUAAAGGGAUCCCGACUGUGUGUGACGAUCUAAACAGUUCAAUUUAUACCCUUCGCUGCUCACUGCGUGAUUGCUUCCAGCCAAGUCACUCAGUUUCCCCUACCUGUCUGGCCUUGAAGGAAAUGUGACAGCAACACAUGCAAACAGCACUCAUUUUUGGAGGUGCUGAAGGGAGGAGAAGGAAUCACCGCAUCCAGCCUCUUACUUCUCUCCGCCGCUCUGAGUUCUGUAGAAUGUGCUGAGCCAGACAUAGUAUCUGCCAUCUGGUGACCCGGCCCUUCUGGGACAUUGCCACCAAUAAUUACAGGAGUACAGGCCAGGUCGAGGCAUCCCCUUCAGCCUGGUUGCAGGGUGCUUUUCUUCUUAAAGAUUCAAUUCUGAAUUCAGAUAAUAAGCGAUGAGACUGAAUUAAACGACACCCCAAAGGCUGGAGUAAUUUUAAUGCAGAAAUAAAGCAUGAAGUCACAAUAUAAUUAAUUCAUACAAACUUCCCUCCAGGAAGGGCACGUCCCAUUGCAUGCAGAGAAGGAGCAGGAGCAGCCCUCUUGCAGGAGCAGCCCUCCGAAAGCUUGUGAUUUCCAAUAACCUGGUGUUGUGUGACUUCUGACCUUGUCUACCCAAGUCCAACACCAGCAUCUCUACAUAAGCAAGAGUAUUUGUCUUAGUUCCCAGUGAUAACAUGUGAAUAAAAUAAAGACUUGAAAUAAUUAUAACUCAAAAAUGACAAGUUAGCCAUUUUACAGGAAUAAGAAAAAACUAACAAUAGAGUUGGCGAGAACAGAUAAUCAGAAACAGGAAGCAUUGUGCGUGUUCCUACACUAAAUGCGCUCCAGCGAUUCAAGAAGGCAGCUCACCACCAUAUCCUAUGAUAUCAUUCGAAGGGCAACUAGGUAUAGAUCAUAGUAUUGCCAUCAGUUAUUAUUAGCUGAUAACAAAGCACCCAUUCACUCUCUUAGAUGAAUUGCAACAUUGAGAACAGGAGAAACUAAAUCUGGCUAUAGUUGUACACAGCCUUGAUGAGAUGCGAUCUGUAAUAUCCUUUUUGGAGGGAAAGAUAUGCAUACAUAAGGAAAUACAAUAAAGGUUAAUUAGAAUGUGCAUGUGAUAGUGGGAUUCUCUGUUAAGGAGAGAUUGAGGUGACUGGAAUGCUUGAAAAUGAGGUGAUUUCUCUUUGAGUUAAACAAAAUUCUGAGAAACCUCAGAAGGGCAAAUGCAGUUAGGAUGCCCUUGUUGGCAUGUGCAUUUAAAGCGAAGGGAAGAGUGUAUCAGAAUAAGAAGUCGACAUUUUUAGGAUGAGAAGAGGAUUAUUUUUGCUGGGGAGUUGAAUCUUCAAUUUCACAAUUACUGGAGUAAUGGAGGAUGAGUCAUAGAAUGCUUACAGUGCAGAAGGAAGCUUUUCAACCCAUCAGGUCUGCACUGAUUCUCUGAAAAGCAUAUCACACAGACAGAUCCCAGUGCCCUACCGCAUUUCCCAUAGCUAACCCAUAUAGCCUUUAUGUCCCUGGACACUAAUGUGGUAAAAUAGCAUAACCAAUCCACUGAUAAAGAAAGACGUUUUCUCGUGCCAAUCAAAAGUGUGGUCUUAAUGAUCCAGCUACCAAAUUGAGAAUCAAUGCACUCACAUGCGAUUAGGGGAAAGUGAGGAAUGCAGUUGCUGGAGAUCAGAGUCGAAAUUGUGGGCAUAAUGACGUUUUAGGCAUAAGCUUUUGCCUGAAACCUUGAUUCUCCUGCUUCUUGGAUGCUGCUUACACUGCUGUGCUUUUCCAGAACCACAUACCACUCAUGUACAAGGUCAUGCGAUCACCAAAACCCAAGGCAAAAGAACUGGGAGCAAUAGAUUAAUUCUACCUGUUUUUGCUUGGACUUUGACCCGCAGAUGUUCUGUUUUUUUUUUGCCUAUAUUAACUACCCACAGGUUUUCUACAAACAGAUGCUUGACAAUCCACCCAUUCAAUAUCUGAGAGUCAGAGUGUCACUCAGGACAGAAUAGGCCUUUCAGCCCAUUGAGUGCACCGAUGAAGUCAUCUAUUGUAUUUACACUCAUUUCAUAUUGUUUAUUUGGAUUUAAUUGGGGAACAGUUUACGUUUGAGUUAAUAAUGGAUUGUUUUCACCACACAUUAAGAACUAAAGUGCACUUUGAGAAAUAUAUUUUCUCUUUACCUGUUCAUUAAUAUAACAGAGUCAUUGCAUACAUUCAAGACAGGGAUUGAUUUUAAUAGUUUUAAAGCAAUUUACAUGAAAUAGGGAUAGUGAGCAAUGGCAUAACAGGGUCAAGGAAGAAGACAUGGUACACUGGCUGUUUGCACAUCCUAUGUUAUUCCUGCUGCUGGAUCUGAGAACACAGUGUGCACAAGACUAGCUUCACAUCAGAAAGCAAUAUAUUAUGGAAACACAAAUAUCAGAACCACAAUAAAAUAUUGAUGGUUAACAAAUUGCCAGAACAAAUUCACAUGAUCAUGAAUAAUAUUUGACAAUCAGAUGACUAAACA